GUGAGGGACUGUGGUUGGCACAGCGGUAGGGUUCUACAGUGAGGGUCUGAGGUUGGCCCAGCGGGAGGGUUCUACAGUGAGGGACUGAGGUUGGCCCAGCGGUAGGGUUUUACAGUGAGGGUCUGAGGUUGGCCAAGCGGUAGGGUUCUACAGUGAGGGACUGUGGUUGGCUCAGCGGUAGGGUUUUACAGUGAGGGACUGAGGUUGGCCCAGCGGUAGGGUUCUACAGUGAGGGACUGUGGUUGGCACAGCGGUAGGGUUCUACAGUGAGGGUCUGAGGUUGGCCCAGCGGGAGGGUUCUACAGUGAGGGACUGUGGUUGGCUCAGCGGUAGGGUUCUACAGUGAGGGACUGAGGUUGGCCCAGCGGUAGGGUUCUACAGUGAGGGACUGAGGUUGGCCCAGCGGUAGGGUUUUACGGUGAGUGACUGAGGUUGGCCCAGAGGUAGGGUUUUACGGUGAGGGACUGAGGUUGGCCCAGCGGUAGGGUUUUACAGUGAGGGAC
ensembl:lncRNA